UUUGGUGUGUGUGAAGCAGGCAGCUGAACCUGACAUUCCUUGUCCUUCUCCUCAAAGAGAGCCUCUAUUAGAGUUGAUGUGUUUCUGACUAUUUGAUACUGAUGGCAGACAGCAGCUGUAUCACAGCACACCUGUCAGACUGUGGAGCUCCAGCUGUUCAGUGUGUCUCAUCGCUCCUACAGCACACAACAGGCCAAGAGCGCAGAGGAGGAGACGCUCCACAGCAUCAUCACCGACACCGAGAACGUUCAAGGAUCCUACUCCAAACACGAGUUCCAAGCGGAGACGAAGAAACUUCUGGAUAUUGUGGCCAGAUCGCUGUAUUCUGAGAAAGAGGUGUUCAUCAGAGAGCUGAUCUCAAAC